rnacentral:rRNA from 1 species
CACUCCUACGGGAGGCAGCAGUGGGGAAUAUUGCACAAUGGGCGCAAGCCUGAUGCAGCCAUGCCGCGUGUAUGAAGAAGGCCUUCGGGUUGUAAAGUACUUUCAGCGGGGAGGAAGGCGAUAAGGUUAAUAACCUUGUCGAUUGACGUUACCCGCAGAAGAAGCACCGGCUAACUCCGUGCCAGCAGCCGCGGUAAUACGGAGGGUGCAAGCGUUAAUCGGAAUUACUGGGCGUAAAGCGCACGCAGGCGGUCUGUCAAGUCGGAUGUGAAAUCCCCGGGCUCAACCUGGGAACUGCAUUCGAAACUGGCAGGCUAGAGUCUUGUAGAGGGGGGUAGAAUUCCAGGUGUAGCGGUGAAAUGCGUAGGGAUCUGGAGGAAUACCGGUGGCGAAGGCGGCCCCCUGGACAAAGACUGACGCUCAGGUGCGAAAGCGUGGGGAGCAAACAGGAUUAGAAACCCUUGUAGUCCCAUG